rnacentral:rRNA from 1 species
CCUACGGGAGGCAGCAGUGGGGAAUUUUGGACAAUGGGCGCAAGCCUGAUCCAGCAAUGCCGCGUGAGUGAAGAAGGCCUUCGGGUUGUAAAGCUCUUUUGUCAGGGAAGAAACGGUGGGAGCUAAUAUCUCCCGCUAAUGACGGUACCUGAAGAAUAAGCACCGGCUAACUACGUGCCAGCAGCCGCGGUAAUACGUAGGGUGCAAGCGUUAAUCGGAAUUACUGGGCGUAAAGCGUGCGCAGGCGGUUUUGUAAGUCUGUCGUGAAAGCCCCGGGCUCAACCUGGGAAUUGCGAUGGAGACUGCAAGGCUUGAAUCUGGCAGAGGGGGGUAGAAUUCCACGUGUAGCAGUGAAAUGCGUAGAGAUGUGGAGGAACACCGAUGGCGAAGGCAGCCCCCUGGGUCAAGAUUGACGCUCAUGCACGAAAGCGUGGGGAGCAAACAGGAUUAGAUACCCUGGUAGUCCACGCCCUAAACGAUGUCUACUAGUUGUCGGGUUUUAAUUAACUUGGUAACGCAGCUAACGNGUGAAGUAGACCGCCGUGGGGAGGUACGGUCGGUCGAGAAGUUAAACGUUAACUAAAUUAGUUAAGUUAGACGGCGUUGAGACGUUGCCGACGGACGACCGACCGAGGGGAGGUUAGGGAG